rnacentral:rRNA from 1 species
GACGUAGGGGGCCAGCGUUGUUCGGAAUUACCGGGUGUAAAGGGUUCGUAGGCGGUGUAGCAAGUCGGGAGUGAAAUCUCUGGGCUUAACCCAGAGGCUGCUUCCGAAACUGCUGUGCUUGAGUGUGGGAGAGGCGCGUGGAAUUGCAGGUGUAGCGGUGAAAUGCGUAGAUAUCGAGAGGAACACCUGCGGCGAAGGCGGGUUGCUGGGCCGACACUGACGCUGAUGCGCGAAAGCCAGGGGAGCAAACGGG